GCCCCUGCCACCCAGAGAGCACAACCCAAAACAGCAGGUGCGGUGCCAGGGGAACAAGGGACCACCAGCCCCAUGCAGUCAGGCUUGCCAGCAACAAUAACCCAGAACUGGACCUAGCGUGCUGCUUGCCAGCAGCAGACCAUUGACAGACGUGCCCGGCAGAGGACAAGGCACGGGAGAAGCAGAGGACAGCCAACCCCCAAGAGCGCAACAGACCACAACCCACGCAGGCAGAAAGCCAGGACGGGGCCCGAGGGUUCCAGACACUCCCCACAGCCAGACUGGAAGACCGCCCCCUACCGGAGAGCACAGUUGGGGCUGCCCCACCCAAGUCGCCCCCGCAAGACCGCCCAGCACGGGGCCACGGGAACCACCCACCCCACCUGAAGGGACCCCGACAAUGGAGAUGGAACAUCCAGCAACUGCCCUGUUGAAUCCUCCCCUUAAGAGCCACCACAAUAGACACGGGGACUAGACCCAACAGGCCCUAACUAAGACGGGUGAGUGGUAGGACCCAGGGGCCCCACACACUUUAAAGUUCAAAAAAAGUCAUGAACCUUUGGUCCAUUGCUCAUGAAGAUUAACGGUGAUCAACGCUACCUCAGGAGGCUUCAGGUCAACAAGUCAUGAGAGCCCAAGGAGGGAUCAGACCAGCGGAGCCUGUCAGAAAAGGUUUGAAUUCUCCACAACUUUUCUUCCUCCCUGAGCAAGCAGGCAGGAAACAGAAAACAAAGACUCUAACUUGCAACGCUUCAAUAACAGAAAGAAGCAAAAAAGCAGACAUCCCGUUUUUUAACAAUACAAAGCUUCAGCUGAAUCAUAGUCAGUGUCUGUGACAGCAGAGCAAGAACAAAUAGAAACAUAACAGUCUGACAGUGAGAAACAUGCACAAAGCUGCUCAUGUUUGAGCAACGUCUCAAUUAUUGAAAUUUUCUAGCACAGAAAACCUUAAUAUGAUGAGUGGUAAGCAAAACACACACAAAAAAAUGACACUAGCUUUGCCACUGAGCCACUUUCAGGAUCAUAAUAUGAACAUUUUCUUAGAAUACACCUGCUCACAAAAAGUGUUUAGGUGUGUUGAAUGAAGCACUGAGCAAAAUUAGCAAAAUUCUGCAAUGCUGAGCCUAGUGCGAUAAGCGGGCAACAUGCCCAUAACUUUUGGGGUUAUGUUGCCAACUUAACAGACAAACCUUAGUUAGUUUUGAUUGAUUGAUUGAAACUUUUAUUAGUAGAUUGCACAGUUCAGUACAUAUUCCGUACAAUUGACCACUAAAUGGUAACACCCAAAUAUGUUUUUCCAUUUGUUUAAGUCGGGGUCCACGUAAAUCAAUUCUUGGCACGUUAGCCACAGCCAAUGAUGCUAAAAUAAUGUCUAAACAGUGGACAUUUAUACAUGAAAAUAUGGCAAAGCUGCUGACGGGUCGUUUGAAGGGGAAGCAGUUGGAAGGAGUAAAAGUAAAAGUCCACUCUACAAGUUAAAAUUAUUGUAGCUGUUUGUUCUACAUUAUGUUAUGUUGUUUUUUUAUACAAUAUUUCCAAUAGGUAUUUUCUUAAAAUCAGUUUUUAUUUUGAAAAACAUGUUACAUGUUCAAAUUGUGAUGUUUUGGGGGGCCAAGAAUGGAUUAAACUGAUUUAAACUCAUUUCCACGAGAGACAUGUAUUUAAGAUACGAGUGUUUUGAGUUACAACCUCUGCCAAGGAACCAAUUAACCUUAUAAGUUGAAGUACUACUGUAUUCGGUAUCUGGUGGUCAUCAGAGAUGACUGUCCCAAAAACAUAU